GCCCGUUUAGUUAAGUGGUAUAACAAACGCCUUGUAAGCGUUAUUCGAGGGUUCGAUUCCUUCAACGGGCA
rnacentral:tRNA from 1 species